GCCGGGUGUGGUGGCUCACACCUGUAAUCCCAGCACUUUGGGAGGCUGAGGUGGGUGGAUCACCUGAGGUUGGGAGUUUAGACCAGCCUAGCCAACAUGGUGAAACCCCAUCUCUA
ensembl:misc_RNA Metazoa_SRP Metazoan signal recognition particle RNA